rnacentral:lncRNA from 1 species
GAGUUAUCCUGGGUCUGCAAUGCAAGCAGAACCAAGAGUUCCUUUCUACCCCAACUCUUCCACUUUUGCUUAAGGACAAAAAUAAGGAUUGGCUGGCACUGCUGGAUCAUAAGCCUCUUCCUCUGGGAAAGUUACAUGUCACCUUGCCAGCGUCUGUGACUUGUAGAUGUCAGGCAGGAAAGAACCUCCAGUGGCCCAGGAAUAAAGCCUGCUCCUCAGAUGUACAUAAUAACAGGCCCUUCUGUAAGCCUUCCUUCUCACCUCAAACCAUGUCGGGAUGGCUGGAAAGGAUAGGGACUCACCCAACCACUACUGGAAUCCGGUUCACAACAUUCAACCCCUGGCUGUUGGAUUGGAGGCAAGUUACUCUGGAAAUUGGGAAAGAUGCAGGUCCUCUUGAAGUCACACAGGGGCUU